AUACGUGAAGGGUGGAGAUGUACCGCUGUUGAACUGUGUAGCCGGUAAUGCCUGGCUUAGACGCUUAUUCGUCCGCUUUUGACAGCUUAUUCCUCCUCCUGACUGUUUGACGUUGCUGCUGUUACGACAGCAAGCAGGAGACGUAGUCGCGGCUCGGCAUACAACCGAGUACUGCUGGACACGAAGGCGGAUGGCUCCGCCUUUGAUACGACCCCAAGCACCGACCCUCGGCGAGUCGUGUGUGCCGCACGCCGUUUCCGGUAGCCCGGAAACCGA
rnacentral:ncRNA from 1 species